rnacentral:rRNA from 1 species
GAAAAAGCUUAAAUAGCCUUGGAGGGCGAUAAGACCCUAUAGAUCUUUACAUUUAAUUCUUUUGUCUUGCGGUAGGUAAUUAGACAGAGUAAAGCAAUGUUCGGUUGGGGCGACGGUAAGAACAGAAUAAACACUUACAACAUAAACACAUCAAUAAAUGACCAUUGAUCCUUAGAUGAAUAAAGACCAAGUUACCUUAGGGAUAACAGCGUAAUUCUUUUUGAGAGUUCAAAUCGACAAAAGAGUUUGCGACCUCGAUGUUGGUUCAGGGACCCUACUCGGUGCAGCAGCCUAGAGAGGCAGUCUGUUCGACUGUUAAACCCCUACGUGAUCUGAGUUCA